rnacentral:rRNA from 1 species
GAGCGUUCUGUAAGCCGUUGAAGGUGAAUCGUAAGGUUUGCUGGAGGUAUCAGAAGUGCGAAUGCUGACAUGAGUAACGACAAAGGGGGUGAAAAACCUCCUCGCCGGAAGACCAAGGGUUCCUGUCCAACGUUAAUCGGGGCAGGGUGAGUCGACCCCUAAGGUGAGGCCGAAAGGCGUAAUCGAUGGGAAACGGGUUAAUAUUCCCGUACUUCUGACUAUUGCGAUGGGGGGACGGAGAAGGCUAGGUGGGCCAGGCGACGGUUGUCCUGGUUCAAGUGCGUAGGCUUGAGAGUUAGGUAAAUCCGGCUCUCUCUAAGGCUGAGACACGACGUCGAGCUGCUACGGCAGUGAAGUCAUUGAUGCCAUGCUUCCAGGAAAAGCCUCUAAGCUUCAGAUAGUCAGGAAUCGUACCCCAAACCGACACAGGUGGUCGGGUAGAGAAUACCAAGGCGCUUGAGAGAACUCGGGUGAAGGAACUAGGCAAAAUGGUACCGUAACUUCGGGAGAAGGUACGCUCUUGAUGGUGAAGUCCCUCGCGGAUGGAGCUGACGAGAGUCGCAGAUACCAGGUGGCUGCAACUGUUUAUUAAAAACACAGCACUGUGCAAAAUCGCAAGAUGACGUAUACGGUGUGACGCCUGCCCGGUGCCGGAAGGUUAAUUGAUGGGGUUAGCGCAAGCGAAGCUCUUGAUCGAAGCCCCGGUAAACGGCGGCCGUAACUAUAACGGUCCUAAGGUAGCGAAAUUCCUUGUCGGGUAAGUUCCGACCUGCACGAAUGGCGUAAUGAUGGCCACGCUGUCUCCACCCGAGACUCAGUGAAAUUGAAAUCGCUGUGAAGAUGCAGUGUACCCGCGGCUAGACGGAAAGACCCCGUGAACCUUUACUACAGCUUGGCACUGAACAUUGAACCUACAUGUGUAGGAUAGGUGGGAGGCUAUGAAGACGUGACGCCAGUUGCGUUGGAGCCGUCCUUGAAAUACCACCCUUGU